rnacentral:lncRNA from 1 species
AUGUCUUGUAGGUGUGGAUUUGGUAGCGGUUGUGGUGGUGAGUUUGCAAUAUGCAUUAAACAAAAAAUAAAAAUAAAAACAAAAUAAAAGAAUAUGAUGCCAAAAUAGUAAGCUUGCGUGGCAAGUUGACAGCGAAGGGAAACGAACCCUUACGCGCACACAACACGUGGUAGGGGCGAGAGUCACGUUGCUACUCAUUAUAUCCUGACUUUAUUAUCCUUUUUUUUCUCAAAAUAUCCAAUCACUUUACUCGAUUUUAGGAAGUAGCUUUGCUCUUAAGAUUUUGGAUUCAAAGCAAAGAAGAUUUUAAUAUUAACUAUUCAUAUUUCCCCGCGCUUCGCGGCGGGAUUAAGUCGAUAUUAAUUUGGUUCAUUAUUGUACCUAUACUUGAUAUAGUAAUUGAAAAGAUAUUCUUCCGCUAUCAUACCGAGCCCAAUUGAACAAUAUUUGUAUCG